ACGGGUGAGUAACACGUGGGUGAUCUGCCCUGCACUUCGGGAUAAGCUUGGGAAACUGGGUCUAAUACCGGAUAGGACCGCACUUUAGUGUGUGUGGUGGAAAGUUUUUUCGGUGUAGGAUGAGCUCGCGGCCUAUCAGCUUGUUGGUGGGGUAAUGGCCUACCAAGGCGGCGACGGGUAGCCGGCCUGAGAGGGUGUACGGCCACAUUGGGACUGAGAUACGGCCCAG
rnacentral:rRNA from 1 species